rnacentral:rRNA from 1 species
AUUGAACGCUGGCGGCAGGCCUAACACAUGCAAGUCGAGCGGAUGAAGGGAGCUUGCUCCCUGAUUCAGCGGCGGACGGGUGAGUAAUGCCUAGGAAUCUACCUGGUAGUGGGGGACAACGUUUCGAAAGGAACGCUAAUACCGCAUACGUCCUACGGGAGAAAGUGGGGGAUCUUCGGACCUCACGCUCUCAGAUGCGCGUAGGUACGAUUGGCUAGUUGGUGAGGUAAAGGCUAACCAAGGCGACGAUCGUUAACUGGUCUGGAGAGGAUGAUCAGUCACACUGGAACUGAGACACGGUCCAGACUCCUACGGGAGGCAGCAGUGGGGAAUAUUGGACAAUGGGCGAAAGCCUGAUCCAGCCAUGCCGCGUGUGUGAAGAAGGUCCUCGGAUUGUAAAGCACUUUAAGUUGGGAGGAAGGGCAGUAAGUUAAUACCUUGCUGUUUUGACGUUACCAACAGAAUAAGCACCGGCUAACUUCGUGCCAGCCGCCGCCGUAACAC